AUUGAGCUGUCUGCUCGCUGUGCCCGCUGUGCCUGCUGUGCCCGCGCUGUCGCCGCUGCUACCGCGUCUGCUCGACGCGGGAGACGCCAGCGAGCUGGUGAUUGGAGCCCUGCGGAGAGCUCAAGCACCCAGCGCUGCCCCAGGAGCCCAGGCUGCCCUGUGAGUCCCAUAGUUGCUGCAGGAGUGAAGCCAUGAGCUGUGUCCUGGGCGGUGUCAUCCCCUUGGGGCUGCUGUUCCUGGUCUGCGGAACCCAAGGCUACCUCCUGCCCAACGUCACUCUCUUAGAGGAGCUGCUCAGCAAAUACCAGCACAACGAGUCUCACUCCCGGGUCCGCCGAGCCAUCCCCAGGGAGGACAAGGAGGAGAUCCUCAUGCUGCACAACAAGCUUCGGGGCCAGGUGCAGCCUCAGGCAUCCAACAUGGAGUACAUGACCUGGGAUGACGAACUGGAGAAGUCUGCUGCAGCGUGGGCCAGUCAGUGCAUCUGGGAGCACGGGCCCACCAGUCUGCUGGUGUCCAUCGGGCAGAACCUGGGCGCUCACUGGGGCAGGUAUCGCUCUCCUGGGUUCCACGUGCAGUCCUGGUAUGACGAGGUGAAGGACUACACCUACCCCUACCCGAGCGAGUGCAACCCCUGGUGUCCAGAGAGGUGCUCAGGGCCCAUGUGCACGCACUACACACAGAUAGUUUGGGCCACCACCAACAAGAUCGGCUGUGCUGUGAACACCUGCCGGAAGAUGACCGUCUGGGGAGAAGUUUGGGAGAACGCAGUCUACUUUGUCUGCAAUUAUUCUCCAAAGGGGAACUGGAUUGGAGAAGCCCCCUACAAGAAUGGCCGGCCCUGCUCUGAGUGCCCGCCCAGCUAUGGAGGCGGCUGCAGGAACAACUUGUGUUACCGAGAAGAAACCUACACUCCAAAACCUGAAACGGACGAGAUGAAUGAGGUGGAAACGGCUCCCAUUCCUGAAGAAAACCAUGUUUGGCUCCAGCCGAGGGUGAUGAGACCCACCAAACCCAAGAAAACCUCUGCGGUCAACUACAUGACCCAAGUCGUCAGAUGUGACACCAAGAUGAAGGACAGGUGCAAAGGGUCCACGUGUAACAGGUACCAGUGCCCAGCAGGCUGCCUGAACCACAAGGCGAAGAUCUUUGGAACUCUGUUCUAUGAAAGCUCGUCCAGCAUAUGCCGCGCCGCCAUCCACUAUGGGAUCCUGGACGACAAGGGAGGCCUGGUGGACAUCACCAGGAAUGGGAAGGUCCCCUUCUUCGUGAAGUCUGAGAGACACGGCGUGCAGUCCCUCAGGUAACUACUCUGUAAUCAGGGCUCCGUGAAACAGUUUUCCUGUUUAUGACAGCGUUGUUGAAAUUUUGAAAAGUAUCACACAGGCCGGGCAUGGUGGCUCACACCUGCACUUUGGGAGGCUGAGGCAGGUGGAUCACCUGAGGUCAGGAGUUCAAGACCAGCCUGACCAACAUGGUGAAACUCCAUCUCUACUAAAAAUACAAAAGUUAGCCAGGCAUGGUGGCACACACCUGUAAUCCCAGCUACUCUCAGGAGGCUGCGGCAGGAGAACCACUUGAGCCCGAGACGGAGGUUGUGGUGAGCCAAGAUAGUGUCACUGCACUCCAGCCUGGCUGACACAGCAAGACUCCAUCUCAAAAAAAAAAAAAAA
rnacentral:sRNA from 1 species